UACGUAGGGUGCGAGCGUUAUUCGGAAUUACUGGGCGUAAAGCGUGCGCAGGCGGUUUUGUAAGUCAGAUGUGAAAUCCCCGGGCUUAACCUGGGAAUGGCGUUUGGGACUGGAAGUCUGGAGUGCGGCAGAGGAGACUGGAAUUCCUGGUGUAGCAGUGAAAUGCGUAGAUAUCAGGAGGAACACCGAUGGCGAAGGCAGGUCUCUGGGCUGACACUGACGCUCAUGCACGAAAGCGUGGGGAGCAAACAGG
rnacentral:rRNA from 1 species